GAUGAACGCUGGCGGCGUGCUUAACACAUGCAAGUCGAACGAUGAACCCGGAGCUUGCUCCGGUGGAUUAGUGGCGAACGGGUGAGUAACACGUGAGUAACCUGCCCUUGACUCUGGGAUAACUGCGGGAAACUGUAGCUAAUACCGGAUACGACCCUCGGCGGCAUCGCCAGGGGGUGGAAAGAAUUUCGGUCAAGGAUGGACUCGCGGCCUAUCAGCUAGUUGGUGAGGUAACGGCUCACCAAGGCGACGACGGGUAGCCGGCCUGAGAGGGCGACCGGUCACACUGGGACUGAGACACGGCCCAGACUCCUACGGGAGGCAGCAGUGGGGAAUAUUGCGCAAUGGGCGAAAGCCUGACGCAGCGACGCCGCGUGAGGGAUGAAGGUCUUCGGAUCGUAAACCUCUUUCAGUAGGGACGAAGCGAAAGUGACGGUACCUAAAGAAGAAGCACCGGCUAACCACGUGCCAGCCGCCGCGGUAA
rnacentral:rRNA from 1 species